CACCUGUCGUCCUGAGGGGCAGUUGGAAGAGGAGGUGGUUGGCCAUUAGUAAAAAUGCCGCUGGAGCUUCUGGUGCAAGCAGCAGCACAUCUUCACAUCCAACCAGCUCUUUUUUCAAUGCUGGCUUUAUCAAACAACAGACCAGAAAUGCUAAGUAAAUAGUUCAGCAUGCUUCCUGGGUCUUCGUUGAGAUCACCAAGAAAAAUGAAGAGACAGGUCUGAGGCUGAAGGCCACGGCCCGUUCCUGGAGACUUUUGGCCAAGCUGACGUGAAGUCCCUCAUCUUUCUCUCACAGUGUGGCCAUCCAGCCUGCCUGAUUUCUCCUGAGCAUACAAGUGCCUGGUCCACACGUCCACAAGGCAACAAGGAAUGCACUGCCAAAUACCUGGCUGAAAUCAAGCUCACUCUUACAGAGCCGCAGCAGCCAGCUCCCCGGGGAAGGAGGAAGGCAGCCCCACAGAUAUAAGCAGCUUGGAGAGGAGCUUCCUGGCCCAGAUCCUGGCAGGAGAUGGAGUUCUCCUGGCACAGCCGGCUUCCUGGCCACAGAGGCCCCAGAACGGGAAGGCAGCAGGGCUGGGGCCUGGAGGAGGUGGUCGGGGAAGGAGAGGAACCAGGCUUCAACAGUGUAAGGGACCAUCAGCCAGAGACAGUGCAGAAGACGGCUAUGGAGAGGAAGAUACAAAAACUGAGCCGCAACUUAGGGCAGAGGUGUGAUGGGCAGAGCUGAGAGAGGCUGGGGAGACGGCUCAGGGCACUGACAGAGGAUGCAGGAGGAGGAAACGUCACUUACCCUCUGGUAAUACACAUGGGCCAGGACUCCUGCCACCAGCUCAACCAGGAAGAUGACGAGCAACAGGCAGAAAUACUAAGAGCAAAGAGAGAGGACGGUCACCACUGGGAUCAGGAUGCUGCCAUGACAAAUGUUUCCCCACAGUGGUGGGGGUGGUAGAGAUACCUGCUGGGACCCCUAUCAUCCAUACCAUCUUCCUCCUGGAUGUACCAGCCUCACUGGCUGCCAGCACCAAGUUCCCCACUUACUCCUUCCCUCCUUGGUCUGCUGACAAUUCAGUAAUGCAUCCACUCAUCCAAUAUGUAUUAAAUACCUGCUACAUGCCAGGUGCCAGGUAGCGUAAGACAACCAUUGCUCUCAAAGUUAUUGAUGGUGGGAAGACAGAUGAUUGACUGCAAUGCUGUGUUACAAAUGCAACUACAGGGUGGACUGGGCUUCACCUCUGUGUCCCUCCCCUGCCUGCUGUGCGGUUCCUCAGUGUAGGUCAUCACCGGAUGAGUGACACAGCUUUACCCAUUGCUCUGUAGCACUGCUCUUGCUUCAGGUGUUACCACUCUGUCCCCUAGAAUGACGGUGAGCUUCAGAGAAACAGGGACCACAUCUGAGGUUGCUUCUGGCUCCUCCACAGUGCCCGGCAUGGUGCUGGGUCUAGACAUACGCUUAGCAGACAUCCUCUGAUAAAGACGCAGGAGUGCACUUUCUAAUAAAGUACACCUAUGA